rnacentral:sRNA from 1 species
AAGGAGGUGAGUCCCGGCCCUCUUGGGAAUGGACGGGACCCAGGAGUGGGUCGGCCCUCACUGGGUUUUAUAUGUUUCAGAAAAGCAGCAUCUGCUACCUGUCCUUUCCCGACUCGCACUCAGGCUGCCUUGGAGACACUCAGUUCAGCUUCCGCAUGCGCCAGUGUGGAGGGCAGAGGAGCCCCUGGCAUGCCGACGACAGGCACUACAACAGCAGGGCCCCUGUGGCACUGCAGAGGGAGCCGGCACACUACUUCGGCUACGUGUACUUCAGGCAGGUGAAGGACAGCUCUGUGAAGAGGGGCUACUUCCAGAAGGAUAUUGCUGCCCCUCACUGAUGGCUGGAGGGUUAUGACACUGUCAGGGUCAGGACAACCCAGCCUGGAAGCCAUAGGCCGAGAGUAAAAGCUGCUCAGCCCCUGGGGAGAUCAUUCCAGAAAUUCUGGCCACCAUGCAUUUCCCUCCGAAGGCCCUAGGGUCCAGCCCACCGGCUGCCACCCAGGGAGUUCGGUGUUGGGUUUUCUCCU